CCUACGGGUGGCAGCAGUGAGGAAUAUUGGUCAAUGGACGAGAGUCUGAACCAGCCAAGUCGCGUGAAGGAUGACUGCCCUAUGGGUUGUAAACUUCUUUUAUAUGGGAAUAAAAUGUUCCACGUGUGGGAUUUUGUAUGUACCAUAUGAAUAAGGAUCGGCUAACUCCGUGCCAGCAGCCGCGGUAAUACGGAGGAUCCGAGCGUUAUCCGGAUUUAUUGGGUUUAAAGGGAGCGUAGGUGGAUUGUUAAGUCAGUUGUGAAAGUUUGCGGCUAAACCGUAAAAUUGCAGUUGAAACUGGCAGUCUUGAGGACAGUAGAGGUGGGCGGAAUUCGUGGUGUAGCGGUGAAAUGCUUAGAUAUCACGAAGAACUCCGAUUGCGAAGGCAGUUCACUGGACUGCAACUGACACUGAGGCUCGAAAGUGUGGGUAUCAAACAGGAUUAGAUACCCUAGUAGU
rnacentral:rRNA from 1 species